UUGAAAUAUUGUUUGUACUUGUUGUUGUCCUAGUUCUCUUUAGUGUUAGAUUUGAGGAUGUAAAUGUAACCAACAUUUUCAUUCUUGCAGAAGCUGAAGCUUGUGGUAAUGAAACAAAUGAGUCUCUUGAUGCCAAAGCUAACAGCGCGUUGGAAUGCCCUUACAUAGCUGACUUGCGUAGAGUUUUUCUUAGUUCUUUGAGGUUUCAAGGAUCAAUUUGUGCAGUUGAUCUAAGACAGUAGAAUCUGCAAGUGUUGAGGUGCUACAAAUGCUCCAAUCUAGAAAUGCAAUAACAAAAUAUUUCACCCUUUAAUCACUCAAUCAUAUUAUAUGGCUUCAUAACAAUGUUAGUGCUAGU